AAUUAGAGUCAGCUAGGGCCGAAGUUACGUCGGCUAGAGCUGAAGCUGAGUUAGCCAAGCAAACUGUCAUGUCCCAGGAGGUCCGGAUUAAAAAGAAGAAGCAUGCACUCAACAAGGUCCGGAAGGAACGUGACAACUUCUUCAAAGAGUUGGAGGAGGAGCAGGAGAAGCAUCGGGCCAUCAAAAUAAAGUUGGCAUUGGUCAAUG
rnacentral:lncRNA from 1 species